rnacentral:rRNA from 1 species
GAUGAACGCUGGCGGCGUGCCUAAUACAUGCAAGUCGAGCGAACAGACAAGGAGCUUGCUCCUCUGACGUUAGCGGCGGACGGGUGAGUAACACGUGGAUAACCUACCUAUAAGACUGGGAUAACUUCGGGAAACCGGCGCUAAUACCGGAUAAUAUAUUGAACCGCAUGGUUCAAUAGUGAAAGACGGUUUUGCUGUCACUUAUAGAUGGAUCCGCGCCGCAUUAGCUGGUUGGUAAGGUAACGGCUUACCAAGGCGACGAUGCGUAGCCGACCUGAGAGGGUGAUCGGCCACACGGGAACUGAGCCACGGUCCAGGCUCCUACGGGAGGCAGCAGUAGGGAAUCUUCCGCAAUGGGCGAAAGCCUGACGGAGCAACGCCGCGUGAGUGAUGAAGGUCUUCGGAGCGUAAAACUCUGUUAUUAGGGAAGAACAAAUGUGUAAGUAACUAUGCACGUCGUGACGGUACCUAAUCAGAAAGCCACGGCUAACUACGUG